GAUGAAGAACGUAGCGAAAUGCGAUAAGUAAUGUGAAUUGCAGAAUUCAGUGAAUCAUCGAAUCUUUGAACGCACAUUGCGCCCGCCAGUAUUCUGGCGGGCAUGCCUGUCCGAGCGUCAUUUCAACCAUCAAGCCCCGGGCUUGUGUUGGGGACCUGCGUCCGACGCAGGCCCUGAAAACCAGUGGCGGGCUCGCUGUCCACACCGAGCGUAGUAACUAACCUCGCUAUGGAGUGGCGCGGGCGCCUGCCGUAAAACCCCCAAUUUCACAAGGUUGACCUCGGAUCAGGUAGGAAUACCCGCUGAACUUAAGCAUAUCAUAAGCGGAGGA
rnacentral:misc_RNA from 1 species